UAAAAUCAAGGCUUUUCCAUCUUCUCUCUCCUCCUGCAAACGCUCUCUUCUCUCUCCUUCUCCUCUGCUAACGUUCUUUUCUUUUCAUAACGGUAACAAAACAAAGCAGACCAUUUUCUCCGGCAACUCACCGGUGUUAUAGAGCAGCCAGCUCCUGCCCAAGUAAGUAUUCCCCUCUCUCUCUGCUCGGAACACUGUUCCGGCAAAGAUCCGUCAACAGUGGUCUUUCACGGUGGUCUUUCUUCGACACCUCCUACACCAUCGAGACACAUAACGCCUGGCGCACAACCCCGGCAAAUUUCGUCGCCGAAAUCUGCUUCACGCACUGCCGCUGAACAGUCACGCGCUGCCGCUGACUUCCACGCGCCACGCGCGUGAGCCCAGUUCCGGUGACUUUUUUCACCGGCUCCUUUUGGACAGUUUUUUCCCCCCACAAUUCCGACCAAGUUGGUACUCCCGAAAUAUUCCCCUGGUCACUUUCAUUUUACACUGUACACUUAGCCACCUCAUUUUUCUUACUGCUUUUCCACAGCAGAUCUUGGUGCUGCCCAGAGGUCUGGAAUUUUUGUUUCCGCCUGAAAUUUUUUUGGCAACCGAAGCACUUUUUCUUUUAUUCUCUCCUCUGCUUUUGUGGGUGUGUUCUGUUUUCUUGGACAGGUGCUUAUUUCACCGGUGAAGAUCUCCGGCAACUCACGUUCAGACUCGCGGCAGGACGCAACAGAGCUGCACGUUCUGCUAAGCUUCAGGAAAACUUGGGCGCCUCAAAGCACACUUUCAGGUUUUUCUAUCGGGAGUUGGUACCUCCCGCUCUCUUGUUUACAUUGUGCACCUUUUUACGUAUUUUAGCUAGCAUAUCGAGUUAGUUGUUAUCUAGUUUGCUACAUUUGCAUUUUUCGCUAUAGUGCGUGUGUGUGUGCCACUGUACCCCAUAUCGGUUGGUGGGAUAGUGGCCGCGGCGGGGGAUGAUAGCGUAAGGUCAUG
rnacentral:lncRNA from 1 species